rnacentral:rRNA from 1 species
CGCUGGCGGCGUGCCUAAUACAUGCAAGUCGAACGCACUCUCGUUUAGAUUGAAGGAGCUUGCUCCUGAUUGAUAAACAUUUGAGUGAGUGGCGGACGGGUGAGUAACACGUGGGUAACCUGCCCUAAAGUGGGGGAUAACAUUUGGAAACAGAUGCUAAUACCGCAUAAAACCUAACACCGCAUGGUGUAGGGUUGAAAGAUGGUUUCGGCUAUCACUUUGGGAUGGACCCGCGGUGCAUUAGUUAGUUGGUGAGGUAAAGGCUCACCAAGACCGUGAUGCAUAGCCGACCUAAGAGGGUAAUCGGCCACACUGGGACUGAGACACGGCCCAGACUCCUACGGAGGCAGCAGUAGGGAAUCUUCCACAAUGGACGAAAGUCUGAUGGAGCAACGCCGCGUGAGUGAAGAAGGUUUCGGAUCGUAAACUCUGUUGUUGGAGAAGAAUGUAUCUGAUAGUAACUGAUCAGGUAGUGACGGUAUCCAACCAGAAAGCCACGGCUAACUACGUG